UUAAGUUGUGAAUCUUACAAACUAAUAAUCAUCAUCAGUAAAUGCAUCAUCAUCAUCACUAUCACGCAUGUCUUCAUGAAUGACGUGCACAUCGGGCGAAUAAACUAACAGAAUCUACCACUAAAUCUACUAAUUAACUAACAGAAUCUACCACUAAAACUACUAAUUAAUUCCAAAAAACUAAAUACCAAACAUGUGAUCUUCUUUUUGUCUUCUCCUCCUCCUAUUCUUCUUCUUCUUCUUCUCCUCCUCCUCCUCUUCUUCUUCCUAUUCUUUCUAGUAAGCUAACUAACUAACUAACCUAACUAACCAAGCUAACUAAACCUAUCGCUAAACCUAGAUAGCACUAAACAGCAAAAAAAUAACAAAAAAAGAAUCUACCACUAUAACAAAAACAGAAUCUACCACUAAGUAACUAAAAAAGAAUCUAGCUACCACUAAAUACCAAACAAUAAAAAAUCAACUUCUUCUUCUUUUUUCUCUUCUUCUCCGUCUUAUUUUUUUCUUAGUGUCUUCUUCUCUUCUUCUUUACUUCUUCUCCUUUUUUUUUCUUCUCUUCUUCUUCUUUUUCUUCUUCUUCUCCUUCUUAUUUUUUCUUCUCCUAUUCUUCUUCUUUUUCUUCUCCUCCUCCUCCUCCUCCUACUCCUCUUCUUCUUCUCCUCUUCUUGUCCUCCUCCUCCUCCUCUUUUCCUCUUCUCCUCCUAACUAAAUCUACUAACCUAACUAAAACUACUAACCUAACUAAAUCUACUAACCUAACUAAAACUACUAACCUAACUAAAUCUACUAACCUAACUAAAACUACUAACCUAACUAAAUCUACUAACCUAACUAAAACUACUAACCUAACUAAAUCUACUAACCUAACUAAAACUACUAACCUAACUAAAUCUACUAACCUAACUAAAACUACUAACCUAACUAAAUCUACCACUAAAACUACUAACAAUA
rnacentral:lncRNA from 1 species